AUAGCUGGCGGAAGUGUCUACAGUGCACACACAAUUGUUGUUAUGAUACCACUCUCUUCCUUUUUUUGGACCACACACGAAUCGCACGUUGAACUGAUUCAAUUUAUGGACUGAAAGAAGACACUUGAGCAAAUGAUAGGACAGGAACCCGGUACCCUGGUGGUCUGCGGCGUGGUCCGACAGUGACGGUGAGCCGCGUCCCCCGUGGAGCUAGAAGCGCCCUGAACCACCGGCUCGUUCAGGACAACUCGGAAAUCAGACACCCCGACUUCCGACGCUGUAACUUGGUGCGUGUCUCCUGAUAAGCCUUGACGAUGCUCUCAUAGGCCGGAGGCGGAGUCUGUGUGGCCUGGAAGCCCCUGACCCCGCCGUGACCCCAGAAGGACUCUGGCCUGGCUGGGGCUGCCGCGGCGGUGGCCGUCGUGGGGGUCCCCACCGCGGUGUGAGCGGACCCCGGCGUGGCCGUCAGGCUCUGGGUCCGGGGAAGCGCGCCGGGGCUGCCCUCCUCGGCCUC